rnacentral:rRNA from 1 species
CCUACGGGAGGCAGCAGUGAGGAAUAUUGGUCAAUGGACGAGAGUCUGAACCAGCCAAGUAGCGUGAAGGAUGACUGCCCUAUGGGUUGUAAACUUCUUUUAUAUGGGAAUAAAAUGUUCCACGUGUGGGAUUUUGUAUGUACCAUAUGAAUAAGGCUCGGCUAACUCCGUGCCAGCAGCCGCGGUAAUACGGAGGAUCCGAGCGUUAUCCGGAUUUAUUGGGUUUAAAGGGAGCGUAGGUGGAUUGUUAAGUCAGUUGUGAAAGUUUGCGGCUCAACCGUAAAAGUGCAGUUGAAACUGGCAGUCUUGAGUACAGUAGAGGUGGGCGGAAUGCGUGGUGUAGCGGUGAAAUGCUUAGAUAUCACGAAGAACUCCGAUUGCGAAGGCAGUUCACUGGACUGCAACUGACACUGAGGCUCGAAAGUGUGGGUAUCAAACAGGAUUAGAUACCCUUGUAGUC